rnacentral:siRNA from 1 species
UAAUCGUAAGAUUCUAUCUUAG